CAGCAGGAGUGGGGGGGCCUGACAUUGGGCUCCGGAUGGCGCCCCCUCUACCCCCAGCAGCUAGAGGAUUAGAGUGGGAGAUGAAAGGGCAGUGCUUCCAGGUCGGCAGAGCGCGGGUGCCGCCGUGAUUGCGGGCGCCUCUGCCUAGUGGCUGCUGUGAUUUGAGAUCCUUGGGCAUCUGGGUAGCUGACUCUGGGCGCUCAGAUGAACCAUGCUGGGUGUGGCCCCUCCCAGAGGCUCCGGGCCUUGGGGGCCCUGGCCGGAGCCGCCCUGCUUUCCGCCCUGUGGCUCCUGUGGCUACUCG
rnacentral:lncRNA from 1 species